UUAGGAAGAUGGACAGUUACCCCGCCUUUGGCGGGGAGGAAAGUCCAGACAGCGCAAAGCAGGGUGGUCGUCGUAAGGCGAUACGGGUACCCUUCGGCUGGCUCAGGGUAGCCUGAGUGAAAUCGAAGACCAACCGCUAGUAUAGAGCAACAGAAACGAUCCUAUUAAGUUAGGCUGAAACGCCCUCCUACACCAAAAGGCUUCAGAGGGUCGUUCGGAGCUCGCAAGAGCGAAGGACGAGGCAAUCCUCCCCGCUGCAAUCCAAGAACGAGUCGAGCUGCUUGCUCUUUGACUCAAAUAUGGAGCAUAGAUAAAUUACUGUCUUAAAACAGAAUCUGGCUUACAAGCUUCCUAAGCGC
rnacentral:RNase_P_RNA from 5 species